rnacentral:rRNA from 1 species
UACGAAGGGGGCUAGCGUUGCUCGGAAUCACUGGGCGUAAAGCGCACGUAGGCGGCAUCUUAAGUCAGGGGUGAAAUCCUGGAGCUCAACUCCAGAACUGCCUUUGAUACUGAGGUGCUUGAAUCCGGGAGAGGGAUGUGGAAUUCCAGGUGUAGCGGUGAAAUGCGUAGAUAUCUGGAGGAACACCGGUGGCGAAGGCGACAUCCUGGACCGGCAUUGACGCUGAGGCGCGAAAGCCAGGGGAGCAAACGGG